AUCUACAGCCACACCGCCCUGAAUGUGCCUGAUCUCGUCCCAUCUUGGAAGCUAAGCAGGGUCGGGCCUGGUUAGUACUUGGAUGGGAAGAGUUUCUCUCUUUUUCUUUCAUGAUUUUGGCUUGUUUGGCUU
ensembl:rRNA 5S_rRNA 5S ribosomal RNA